UCUGUCUGCGCCAUAUGACUGUUCGAUUUGUCAUCAUUUCUCUUCAUCUACUGACUUCAUACUAUCUUCUGCGUUCUGGGAAACUGUGGAACAAAUAGUAACGAGCAAUUAUGGAAGUCUACCGUAAUAACCUUGUAUAUUUGCUGGGCUUAUUUUUUCUUCUGUCCACGUUAUACCAAGGACCAACGGGGGUGCUUGCAGGAAUCGGUCAACCGGCAAAUGAUCCGCUUCACAAACGUCCGCAAGACCCGACAGGCAGGCGUCAGCCGCUGAUAUCUCCAUCACUUCCUCGAAUACCAGAAGAGGGAGACGCUUCGAAAACGUGGGAUCAGGGGACUAAACAAAUAAUCAACAGAGUUCUAGCUGGAAGGGGACCUGCACCUCUUACGGGAUUCGCCCAUCAUCGACCACGCCAUCCUCCUGUACCAGGGCAACGUCGUGGAUUCUGGCCUCGCGGUGCCCCCAAUAAUGCUCAUUUCUGAAUGAGAACUACCGGACAGGAACAAUUCAUUGCCGCACUAUCAAUAUGCACCACUCAGAAACUCGAAGCAAGUUUGGACGCUGCAGGUCAACUUUCAGCAGAAACUUAAAGCAAGUUUGGAAGCUGCACAAUUUAGUUUUUUUCAGCACUGUACGAACACCGCUCGUCUGUGCCAUGGCAAUUUCGGGCUAAUAAAAUAUCGUCAUUAUGUA
rnacentral:lncRNA from 1 species